AACGAACGCUGGCGGCAGGCUUAACACAUGCAAGUCGAACGCAUCCUUCGGGGUGAGUGGCAGACGGGUGAGUAACGCGUGGGAACGUGCCCUUCAGUUCGGGAUAACCCAGGGAAACUUGGGCUAAUACCGGAUACGUGCGAGAGCAGAAAGAUUUAUCGCUGAAGGAUCGGCCCGCGUCUGAUUAGCUAGUUGGUGGGGUAAUGGCCCACCAAGGCGACGAUCAGUAGCUGGUCUGAGAGGAUGAUCAGCCACAUUGGGACUGAGAAACGGCCCAAACUCAUACGGGAGGCAGCAGUGGGGAAUAUUGGACAAUGGGCGCAAGCCUGAUCCAGCCAUGCCGCGUGAGUGAAGAAGGCCUUAGGGUUGUAAAGCUCUUUCGUCCGGGACGAUAAUGACGGUACCGGAAGAAGAAGCCCCGGCUAACUUCGUGCCAGCCGCCGCAGUAA
rnacentral:rRNA from 1 species